rnacentral:rRNA from 1 species
CAUUAUACAGCGAAACUGCGAAUGGCUCAUAUAUAAGUUAUCGUUUAUUUGAUAGUACCUUACUACUUGGAUAACCGUGGUAAUUCUAGAGCUAAUACAUGCUAAAAAUCCCGACUCCGGAAGGGAUGUAUUUAUUAGAUUAAAAACCAAUGCCCUCUGGGCUCCUUGGUGAUUCAUAAUAACUUUUCGAAUCGCAUGGCCUUGCGCCGGCGAUGGUUCAUUCAAAUUUCUUCCCUAUCAACUUUCGAUGUUUGGGUAUUGGCCAAACAUGGUCGCAACGGGUAACGGAGGGUUAGGGCUCGACCCCGGAGAAGGAGCCUGAGAAACGGCUACUACAUCCAAGGAAGGCAGCAGGCGCGCAAAUUACCCAAUCCCGAUUCGGGGAGGUAGUGACAAUAAAUACUGAUACAGGGCUCUUUUGGGUCUUGUAAUUGGAAUGAGUACAAUUUAAAUCCCUUAACGAGGAACAAUUGGAGGGCAAGUCUGGUGCCAGCAGCCGCGGUAAUUCCAGCUCCAAUAGCGUAUAUUAAAGUUGUUGUGGUUAAAAAGCUCGUAGUUGAACCUUGGGCCUGGCUGGCCGGUCCGCCUCACCGCGUGCACUGGUCCGGCCGGGCCUUUCCCUCUGUGGAACCCCAUGCCCUUCACUGGGUGUGGCGGGGAAACAGGACUUUUACUUUGAAAAAAUUAGAGUGCUCCAGGCAGGCCUAUGCUCGAAUACAUUAGCAUGGAAUAAUGAAAUAGGACGUGUGGUUCUAUUUUGUUGGUUUCUAGGACCGCCGUAAUGAUUAAUAGGGACAGUCGGGGGCAUCAGUAUUCAAUUGUCAGAGGUGAAAUUCUUGGAUUUAUUGAAGACUAACUACUGCGAAAGCAUUUGCCAAGGAUGUUUUCAUUAAUCAGGAACGAAAGUUAGGGGAUCGAAGACGAUCAGAACCGUCGUAGUCUUAACCAUAAACUAUGCCGACUAGGGAUCGGACGAUGUUAUUUUUUGACGCGUUCGGCACCUUACGAGAAAUCAAA